rnacentral:lncRNA from 1 species
CAUAAUAAAAGAAGAAUACCAAUAUAGUAUAAAAAUGAAAAAUGAACAAACUGUCCCCAGGCUUUAAAACAAGUUGUUUUAAUCUUGAGCAAUUCAGCUCUUAAUUUAGGGUUAGAUUCAACUCCCAUUGAAGUCAAUAGCUGUAUGUUUUGAGAGGAAUUUAAUGAGGCUUGUCACUUAGCUUUGUUUACUCUCUCAUCAAGGAUAUUUAACUAAAUUCAUUUAGAAAAGGCUAUCCAGUGCUUAAUGGGAAAGCAUAUUUUAUAAAUGUGCUUAUACUUUGAAUAGGAUUGUUUUGAAACAGGGUUUUUUUUCCUUCCAAGUUUUAUAUUAAAUAUGUAAGCAGUAUCGAUAAAUCCUUCGUGAUAUAUGCACUUAAUAAUUCUAAUCCAAAUAACACCAGGAAGUACAGGUGUUUGUUUUCCUUCCCCAGGAUGAUUUGCCCUUUAAUUAAUAUGUGUUAUACAUUAAAAAAGCCCAGUGGGAUGUUGCUGUCUUAUUUAAGUGAUGGCUUUGGAACUUUGUGCUGUCAGUUUUGCAGAGAUCCUCAGUGAUGGACCCCAGAUGAUAAAAGGUGGAAUAAAUUACUGUUCUGUCUGUGCACAUGCCUUGUCUGCAUUCCCAGUGCAAGCCACCACAGAGACCCCAGGCAGUGGAACCAGCCCUGGCUGCAUGCGUGGAGGAAGGCAGCCGGAAAGCACAAGGCUCUGCUCUCCAGGUGGGGCAGAGGCAGAGGAGCUGGGGCCAGCGCCAGGGCCAGGAGUGGCUCCGCUGCUGCAGGGGUGUAGCGAGGGGUGCGGCCCCAGGCACCGCUCCAGAGGUGAGGUAGGCACGAAGACACGAGGUCCAGGGUGGGGUGAGAGCAGCCUGUGUGCUGGCAAAGUGCCCUGCUCCUGGCUCUGUGCCUGGCGAGUGAUAAAAAGGAAAACAGGAAAGGACCUGCCAAAUGACCUUCUUACCUGGGAAACCCAAUUUUUGCUCCAGCAUGGGCUAUACCGUGCUGGUGCUCUAGAUGCAAGGGGAGAGGAGUAAACAAGAAAGGCUCUGAGGAAGGCAAAUGCUCAAUGGACAGACUGAGUGAAAAAUAAGGAAAUGUUUGGCUGAGGUGAGAGCCUGAAGAGAAAUUAAAAAUGCCAGACUGAAACCUGCAGCAUCCAGACCUGACAAUUUCCAGCAUCAAUGACAAGGAGGCAGCAAGGAGAAACUGGUGAAAAAGAUGGUGAGGCAGCUGUGGGGAGUCUCAUAGAUCACUUGCACAGAGAGGCAAUGCCUGUUGUGGCAUAGUUGACCCAGCAACAUAUUUGGAAUAAUUUGCAGUUGGCAGAAUGCUUCUGACUAGGUCACUGCCUUGUGUCAUCAAGGUAAAGUAUCGCUGACCUAGUUGUAGGAGGCACCAACUCCACCUUAGUGAUGGUCAAACCAGGGUGACUCUGAGAAUGGGGAAGAAGAAGGCUGCUGGUUUGGCUGCAUGAGAAUCAGACUGCGUGACCAUGUCUGAAAUCAACUGGGAGGUUAGAAAGAGCAUAGGAGAGUGCUGGUAGCGUGGCUUGAAGGGGGAUCCAAAGGAAGAAGUAUUUCUUAGUCACUGGCUUACAGCCUUCUUCAAAACUUCUAUUAGAUUUUUAAUUCAUAUUAUUUAAUGACAUAGUUCUCUGUUACCACUGUGAUACAAUGAUACAGUUCUCAUUUAACAGAAAAUAGCAAACAUCACAUUUGUGUUCAUUCCUCUAUUCCACUUCAGGAAUAAAACAAACAGUAAAAUUUGCCA